ACGCUGGCGGCGUGCUUAACACAUGCAAGUCGAACGGAAAGGCCCUGCUUUUGUGGGGUGCUCGAGUGGCGAACGGGUGAGUAACACGUGAGUAACCUGCCCUUGACUUUGGAAUAACUUCAGGAAACUGGGGCUAAUACCGGAUAGGAGCUCCUGCUGCAUGGUGGGGGUUGGAAAGUUUCGGCGGUUGGGGAUGGACUCGCGGCUUAUCAGCUUGUUGGUGGGGUAGUGGCUUACCAAGGCUUUGGCGGGUAGCCGGCCUGAGAGGGUGACCGGCCACGUUGGGACUGAGAUACGGCCCAGACUCCUACGGGAGGCAGCAGUGGGGAAUAUUGCACAAUGGGCGGAAGCCUGAUGCAGCAACGCCGCGUGCGGGAUGACGGCCUUCGGGUUGUAAACCGCUUUCGCCUGUGACGAAGCGUGAGUGACGGUAAUGGGUAAAGAAGCACCGGCUAAUUACGUGCCAGCAGCCGCGGUGAUACGUAGGGUGCGAGCGUUGUCCGGAUUUAUUGGGCGUAAAGGGCUCGUAGGUGGUUGAUCGCGUCGGAAGUGUAAUCUUGGGGCUUAACCCUGAGCGUGCUUUCGAUACGGGUUGACUUGAGGAAGGUAGGGGAGAAUGGAAUUCCUGGUGGAGCGGUGGAAUGCGCAGAUAUCAGGAGGAACACCAGUGGCGAAGGCGGUUCUCUGGGCCUUUCCUGACGCUGAGGAGCGAAAGCGUGGGGAGCGAACAGGCUUAGAUACCCUGGUAGUCCACGCUGUAAACGGUGGGUACUAGGUGUGGGGUCCAUUCCACGGGUUCCGUGCCGUAGCUAACGCUUUAAGUACCCCGCCUGGGGAGUACGGCCGCAAGGCUAAAACUCAAAGGAAUUGACGGGGCCCCGCACAAGCGGCGGAGCAUGCGGAUUAAUUCGAUGCAACGCGUAGAACCUUACCUGGGUUUGACAUGGAUCGGGAGCGCUCAGAGAUGGGUGUGCCUCUUUUGGGGUCGGUUCACAGGUGGUGCAUGGCUGUCGUCAUCUCGUGUCGUGAGAUGUUGGGUUAAGUCCCGCAACGAGCGCAACCCUUGUUCACUGUUGCCAGCACGUUAUGGUGGGGACUCAGUGGAGACCGCCGGGGUCAACUCGGAGGAAGGUGGGGAUGACGUCAAGUCAUCAUGCCCCUUAUGUCCAGGGCUUCACGCAUGCUACAAUGGCUGGUACAGAGAGUGGCGAGCCUGUGAGGGUGAGCGAAUCUCGGAAAGCCGGUCUCAGUUCGGAUUGGGGUCUGCAACUCGACCUCAUGAAGUCGGAGUCGCUAGUAAUCGCAGAUCAGCAACGCUGCGGUGAAUACGUUCCCGGG
rnacentral:rRNA from 1 species